GAUGAACGCUAGCGGCAGGCCUAAUACAUGCAAGUCGAGGGGCAGCGCAGUGUAGCAAUACAUGGGCGGCGACCGGCAAACGGGUGCGGAACACGUACGCAACCUUCCUUCAAGUGGGGAAUAGCCCAGAGAAAUUUGGAUUAAUGCCCCGUAAGAUAGUAGCUCGGCAUCGGGUCGCUAUUAUAGCUGAGGCGCUUGAAGAUGGGCGUGCGUCUGAUUAGGUAGUUGGUGAGGUAACGGCUCCAAGCCGACGAUCAGUAACUGGCGUGAGAGCGCGACCAGUCACACGGGCACUGAGACACGGGCCCGACUCCUACGGGAGGCAGCAGUAAGGAAUAUUGGUCAAUGGACGCAAGUCUGAACCAGCCAUGCCGCGUGGAGGAUGAAGGUCCUCUGGAUUGUAAACUUCUUUUAUCUGGGAAGAAAUGCCAUUUUUCUAAAUGGUUUGACGGUACCAGAUGAAUAAGCACCGGCUAACUCCGUGCCAGCCGCCGCAGUAA
rnacentral:rRNA from 1 species